GUUCAGAAAAGUUCUACCCAAUGGCAUUUUGGAAUAGGUUUAGCUCCAACACAGAUGGAAAGGCUGAAUUCCAGAAACCUGUUUUUGGAAAUCCUGCCUGCCAGGUGAUGGAUUAUAGAGUUACGGCCUCAAUCUGACUACAGUUUCUCCAAGUCGGUUUCCGUAUCUAUGAAACAGACAACACAUCAAGACUCCCUGAGAGUCGGGCCAUCCACGGUAACCGGUGGACAGAGUACAGAACACAGCAGGCUUCCAGAAUGGAUAAGAAGGUAGCUGGAAAAAACUCCAAGUUCCAUGAUGGCGGCAGCCAUGUCACCUAAGCAUUGCUGUAUUCUAGGACUCCGUAAAAGAGGCAGCACUCAUCAGAUCUACUUACAUGUGAUCAUACAACUGGGGAGGAGAGAGACUGGAAAUCAUUUGAUUUUAAUAAAGCUC